CGUUUAGGGGUAAACCUGAGAAACCCGAAAGGUCGAAGGAAGAAAUUCAUUCGCGUCUCGUUGUCGGCGGGAAACGGUCGUGCGACGGGAACGACUUCGUGUGCGUUUUCGCGCCUUCCGUUUUUUGAUCCGGUGACGAACGCGUGCACUUUUCUUCUGGUAGGACGUCGCGAUCCGUUGGGUGUCGGUCUACGGUUCGCGGUGGAGCCCGCCCGUCGUCUUGUACGUACGGACGGACCCGCGUGUCCCGGCCGACUCGCUCGACGGUAUACGAAUGGUCGAAGGCCGCUCUUUGGAGCGUCCGACUCGCGGCAAGCGCGCCCGUCCCGUUGGCAAUCGGACCUAGUGCCGUUUCCGACACCGGGUGACUGUUGGCCGUGAAGUUCUCGGACAGACCUUUUUUAAAUGACCGAUCUGCGACGCUAUAGCUUUGGGUACUUUCAGGACCCGUCUUGAAACACGGACCAAGGAGUCUAGCAUGUGCGCGAGUCAUUGGGAAUCACUAAACCUAAAGGCGCAAUGAAAGUGAAGGUCUUCCUUGCGAAGACCUAGGGAAGACGAGCGGUUUACCCUUAAAAGUGACCGUUCCGCAUUCCCGGGGCGUCUCGUUCUCAUUGCGAGAAGAGGCGCACCAAGAGCGUACACGCUGGGACCCGAAAGAUGGUGAACUAU
rnacentral:rRNA from 1 species